UACGAAGGGUCCAAGCGUUGUUCGGAAUUACUGGGCGUAAAGGGUUCGUAGGUGGCCACUUAAGUCAGACGUGAAAUCCCUCAGCUUAACUGGGGAACUGCGUCUGAUACUGGGUGGCUUGAGUGCAGGAGAGGAAUGCGGAAUUCCAGGUGUAGCGGUGAAAUGCGUAGAUAUCUGGAGAAACACCGGUGGCGAAGGCGGCAUUCUGGACUGUAACUGACACUGAGGAACGAAAGCCAGGGGAGCAAACGGG
rnacentral:rRNA from 1 species